UCCUGAGAGAGAUUUUUUUUUUUCUUUUUUCUCGUAACCCUAAUAUUGUUUCCCACCGCCCACGACCCUCUUCUCCACCACCUUCCUUCUCUUCCAGAAGUUUAACAGAAGAUCGAUUUGAUUAAUUUGAUCAACUGGGAUUUUUUAUGUGUAGGUAAUAAGUUCUCUGUUUUCCUAUUUUUCAUAAAAAAAUCUCUGCGAAAAAUCUCACAUCUUCUUCUUCUUCCAUUAUUUGGCAAUCCCACAUAUAUCCAGUAUCAUCAACAACAUCAGAUGAGUUACUUAAUUGGAGAUGCUUGGAAAUUGUGGAUGUUUUUGUUCCAUGUAGUCAAUUUAUACUUUCAAGAUCUAGGUGAUGUUUUUGUUCUUAUCAUAACUGUCGAACCCUAUGUUUAUUUGUAGGAUUGUUGUGUACAAAUCACUCUACACAUUUGGAAUUUAUAUGUCUGAUGUCAUGGCUGCAGUUGACCAGUUAAUUUGGUCGAAAAAAUUCGGCAAUUUGAUUUAUCUUAGCUAUGAUUUACAAAACUAAUUGAUGCUUCUGAAAAAGAUUCAUGUUUCUGAACAAUAACUUCCUCUUUGCAUGUUAGUAAAGUAUGUACUUAUAUGUGCUACCCGGGAUUAAUUUAUUGAGCCUCCAAUAAUUUUCAAAUUUUAUCAAUCACAAUAAGCUAUCCAACAAAUCUACCCAAAUCACUGUUCAUCCUGAAUUCAUAGGUUGUCUAUCAUUAUGAUUGUUGGCGGUUUUGAAAAAGCUUCCAAGAUAACCAGUAUUGUUCAUAUGCAUGUGAAGUAUAAAUGUUACCUGUUACAGAUACUUGAUUAGUAAUCCAUAUUCAUACAAAGUUUGUUUGUCGUCAAUAAUGGAACUAUAUUCUUUCCUUUUUGAGUAACGACUAAGCAUUCAUUCCAUAUUACUACUGAUUGUUUCUAUUACUGUUAUAUCCUUAUACCCUGUUUUAAUCUCAAAACCGUGUUCGCGUCUUCUUACGUAAUUCUAUGUAUUAGUUUUAUCUGUGGUUUCAGGUGAUAAAUUCUGUUACGAGUUGGAAUUCAAUUGGAAUCGAAUAUUGCUACAAUGGCCAAAAGCCUUUUCCUGCACCUUUCUUAGAAAUUGCAAAGCAGUCUCCAUGGGUUGGUACAAAGGUAUUACUGAAGCCCUUCGUUUUGUAUAUUAUAUAAUGCAAAUUAAUAGUUCAGUGGUUGCUCUUAUUUCUUUUACUUAGGUUGACAGUUGAGAUGUUGUUUCAUUUUUGUAAUAUGCAACUUCUAGAAUGUCUAAGAACUUCCAUUUCCCUUGGACAGAAAUUAAAUUGGAGAGUCUGUUAAUUCUUAACUUUCAUCUC